rnacentral:rRNA from 1 species
GAGUUUGAUCAUGGCUCAGAACGAACGCUGGCGGCAGGCCUAACACAUGCAAGUCGAGCGCCCCGCAAGGGGAGCGGCGGACGGGUGAGUAACGCGUGGGAAUCUUCCCCGAGGUACGGAACAACUGAGGGAAACUUCAGCUAAUACCGUAUGAUGUCGAGAGACCAAAGAUUCAUCGCCUUGGGAUGAGCCCGCGUCAGAUUAGGUAGUUGGUGGGGUAACGGCCUACCAAGCCUGCGAUCUGUAGCUGGUCUGAGAGGACGAUCAGCCACACUGGGACUGAGACACGGCCCAGACUCCUACGGGAGGCAGCAGUGGGGAAUCUUGCGCAAUGGGCGAAAGCCUGACGCAGCCAUGCCGCGUGAGUGAAGAAGGUCUUAGGAUUGUAAAGCUCUUUCGCCCGUGACGAUGAUGACGGUAACGGGAGAAGAAGCCCCGGCUAACUUCGUGCCAGCCGCCGCAGU